CCUACGGGAGGCAGCAGUGGGGAAUAUUGGGCAAUGGAGGCAACUCUGACCCAGCAACGCCGCGUGAAUGAUGAAGGUCUUCGGAUUGUAAAGUUCUGUGAUGGGGGAUGAACACAAUGACGGUACCCCAAUAGCAAGCCACGGCUAACUACGUGCCCGCAGCCGCGGUAAUACGUAGGUGGCAAGCGUUAUCCGGAAUGAAUGGGCGGAAGGGGUGCGUAGGUGGUUUAGUAAGUUGGCGGUGUAAUGCCGGGGCUCAACCUCGGCGCUACCGCCAAAACUAUUAGACUAGAGUGCAGGAGGGGUAAGUGGAAUUCCUAGUGUAGCGGUGGAAUGCGUAGAUAUUAGGAGGAACAUCAGGGGCGAAGGCGACUUACUGGACUGUAACUGACACUGAGGCACGAAAGCGUGGGGAGCAAACAGGAUUAGAUACCCUAGUAGUC
rnacentral:rRNA from 1 species